rnacentral:rRNA from 1 species
UACGGAGGGUGCAAGCGUUAUCCGGAUUUACUGGGUUUAAAGGGUGCGUAGGUGGGUCUGUAAGUCAGUGGUGAAAUCUCCGAGCUUAACUCGGAAACUGCCAUUGAUACUAUAGGUCUUGAAUUAUCUGGAGGUAAGCGGAAUAUGUCAUGUAGCGGUGAAAUGCGUAGAUAUCAAGAGGAACACCUGAGGUGAAGACGGGUUGCUGGGCUGACACUGACGCUGAGUGCGCGAAAGCUAGGGUAGCAAACGGG